UCGGAGAGUUUGAUCCUGGCUCAGGAUGAACGCUGGCGGCGUGCCUAAUACAUGCAAGUCGAGCGAACUGAUUAGAAGCUUGCUUCUAUGACGUUAGCGGCGGACGGGUGAGUAACACGUGGGCAACCUGCCUGUAAGACUGGGAUAACUUCGGGAAACCGAAGCUAAUACCGGAUAGGAUCUUCUCCUUCAUGGGAGAUGAUUGAAAGAUGGUUUCGGCUAUCACUUACAGAUGGGCCCGCGGUGCAUUAGCUAGUUGGUGAGGUAACGGCUCACCAAGGCAACGAUGCAUAGCCGACCUGAGAGGGUGAUCGGCCACACUGGGACUGAGACACGGCCCAGACUCCUACGGGAGGCAGCAGUAGGGAAUCUUCCGCAAUGGACGAAAGUCUGACGGAGCAACGCCGCGUGAGUGAUGAAGGCUUUCGGGUCGUAAAACUCUGUUGUUAGGGAAGAACAAGUACAAGAGUAACUGCUUGUACCUUGACGGUACCUAACCAGAAAGCCACGGCUAACUACGUGCCAGCAGCCGCGGUAAUACGUAGGUGGCAAGCGUUAUCCGGAAUUAUUG
rnacentral:rRNA from 2 species